UUUUACACUAUUCAUAUGAUCAUAUCCAACAUUUGACCGAUCUUUUUAUUUAAAUUUUUUUUAUGAUUUAAUAAUUUUAUUGUUAUUAAAUGACAAAACAUAAAUAAUACUUUAUACGUGACUAUUUUUUUUCAUAAAUUUUUUAAAUAAAACAGACGGUCAAAUGUUAGACACAGAUAUCCACGGCUGCACUUAUU
rfam:Oryza glumipatula chromosome 2, whole genome shotgun sequence.